rnacentral:rRNA from 1 species
UACGUAGGAAGCAAGCGUUGUCCGGAAUCACUGGGCGUAAAGCGCGUGUAGGCGGUAUGGCAAGUCUGCUGUGAAAGCGCUCGGCUUAACCGGGCGGGGUCGGUGGAAACUGCCACACUGGAGGACGGUAGAGGGGGGUGGAAUUCCCGGUGUAGUGGUGAAAUGCGUAGAGAUCGGGAGGAACACCUGUGGCGAAGGCGGCCCCCUGGGCCGGCCCUGACGCUGAGACGCGAAAGCGCGGGGAGCGAACGGG